rnacentral:rRNA from 1 species
UUUGAUCCUGGCUCAGGAUGAACGCUAGCUACAGGCUUAACACAUGCAAGUCGAGGGGCAGCAUUAUCGAAGCUUGCUUUGAUAGAUGGCGACCGGCGCACGGGUGAGUAACGCGUAUCCAACUUCCCCAUAGUAGGGCAUAGCCCGUAGAAAUGCGGAUUAAUACCCUAUGUAUUCCGAGGAUGACAUCUGAUUCGGGAACAAAGGUUCACCGCUAUGGGAUGGGGAUGCGUCUGAUUAGGUAGUCGGCGGGGUAACGGCCCACCGAGCCAUCGAUCAGUAGGGGUUCUGAGAGGAAGGUCCCCCACAUUGGAACUGAGACACGGUCCAAACUCCUACGGGAGGCAGCAGUGAGGAAUAUUGGUCAAUGGGCGAGAGCCUGAACCAGCCAAGUAGCGUGCAGGAAGACGGCCCUAUGGGUUGUAAACUGCUUUAUACAGGGAUAAAGUCGGGGACGCGUUCCCCGUUUGCAGGUACUGUAUGAAUAAGGACCGGCUAAUUCCGUGCC